AGAAUGUCAUGGAAUUAAUUGCAGUAGGUCCUACUUGGCUUGGCCUGUCUUACAGGGAGAAGGACAAUGAAUGGAAGUGGGAGGAUGGCUCCUCUCCUUCUCCUGGGCUGGGUUUACCAGAGCCAAGUCUGGAUUUCCAGGGAAAAUGUGUGUAUGUAAAGGCACACACUCUUGGUACUGAUAACUGCACCAUACCCUCUUCAUGCCUGUGUGAGAAGGCUGUCCACUAAAAAUCAGAAGAAGAAAGUUAUGAGAAAAGCUAUGAGGGUCACAUCUCAAUAACAUUCCAGACGCAAGACCUGCUUGUCUUUGUUCUAUUGUUUUUUUCAUGUUAUUUGUAACCCUUUUAUCUCAUAGCAGAAACUGUCAAAUGACUUUAUGAGAGACGAAGGCAAAGCCUAGAGUUUUAGCAGAAAUAUCAGAGGAGCAAAUUCAGAACCUGUUUGAUUUCAUGAGAAUUGUAUAAAUGAACUAAUAAACAUUAUUUGUCAUGACUA